rnacentral:pre_miRNA from 1 species
UUAACUCAAAUUUGUAUGCAGUUGGAACAGCGCCCCUAGCGGCAAACGUAGGCAAACAUUCCAACUCCAUACAAAUAUAAGUUA